UACGGAGGGAGCUAGCGUUGUUCGGAAUCACUGGGCGUAAAGCGCACGUAGGCGGAUUGUUAAGUCAGGGGUGAAAUCCUGGAGCUCAACUCCAGAACUGCCUUUGAUACUGGCGAUCUCGAGUCCGGGAGAGGUGAGUGGAACUGCGAGUGUAGAGGUGAAAUUCGUAGAUAUUCGCAAGAACACCAGUGGCGAAGGCGGCCUUCUGGGCCUUUCCUGACGCUGAGGCGCGAAAGCGUGGGGAGCGAACCGG
rnacentral:rRNA from 1 species